GUCAACCCGUAUCAUUCUAAUUAUUUUACAUAUAUUCUUGCAGAUCAUGUCAAUGAUAGGUAGUAGUGCUGAUGCUACCCGAGCCGAGCUAGUCUGCACAUUGUUCUACAUGGCUGGUCAUAACAUGAAUCCAACAACCAUGCGAAAUCACAAGAACUCACUGCGCUUUUGUGCAUGAGGUGUUAUACUGGUCAAAUGAGGUAAGUUUGAACAUAAAAUUUGAUAUAUAUUUUUAUGAUUGGUUAUUCGAUAAAUCAAGUUUCUUAAAUAGGCCUUUUGAGAUUGAUC
rnacentral:lncRNA from 1 species